CAGCCGUCAUGAAGGCUCUGGAGAUGCCUCAGGUCGUCCGUCUGGAGAGGACAUGGAGGGCACUGAGGAGGAACCACACAGAGAGCGCUGUGAUGUUUGAGAAGACCCUCAAACCCUUCAUGAUCGCUCUGAAUGACGGAGAUGACUCUGUGGUGCAGGGUCCCCUGGCUGUGUGUGUAAUGUGUGUGUGAUGUAUUUGUAAUGUGUGUGUGU